rfam:Musa acuminata subsp. malaccensis Doubled-haploid Pahang (DH-Pahang) genomic chromosome, chr8
AUACCUUUCUCGGCCUUUUGGCUAAGAUCAAGUGUAGUAUCUGUUCUUAUCAGUUUAAUAUCUGAUACAUGGGCCAUAGGUCCAUCAUGAUAUUAAAUUAAUUUUUUGUGGGGGAGGGUCUGCCUACGGCAGCUUGCUGCUGGGACCCUCGAGCGUCGCCCGUGCGUUGCACUGCUUCUCGGGCUUGGCGCACCCCGA